AUAAUGGGUCAGCGACUUAUAUUCUGUAGCAAGGUUAACCGUAUAGGGGAGCCGUAGGGAAACCGAGUCUUAACUGGGCGAAUGAGUUGCAGGGUAUAGACCCGAAACCCGGUGAUCUAGCCAUGGGCAGGUUGAAGGUUGGGUAACACUAACUGGAGGACCGAACCGACUAAUGUUGAAAAAUUAGCGGAUGACUUGUGGCUGGGGGUGAAAGGCCAAUCAAACCGGGAGAUAGCUGGUUCUCCCCGAAAGCUAUUUAGGUAGCGCCUCGUGAACUCAUCUUCGGGGGUAGAGCACUGUUUCGACUAGGGGGUCAUCCCGACUUACCAACUCGAUGCAAACUACGAAUACCGAAGAAUGUUAUCACGGGAGACACACGGCGGGUGCUAACGUUCGUCGUGAAGAGGGAAACAACCCAGACCGCCAGCUAAGGUCCCAAAGUCAUAGUUAAGUGGGAAACGAAGUGGGAAGGCUCAGACAGCCAGGAUGUUGGCUUAGAAGCAGCCAUCAUUUAAAGAAAGCGUAAUAGCUCACUGGUCGAGUCGGCCUGCGCGGAAGAUGUAACGGGGCUAAACUAU
rnacentral:rRNA from 1 species